UUCUGUGUUUUCUGCAGAUGCUGAAGAUCAUGAUUACAGCUAAAAUCAACAGAGAUCCAGCAGCCACAGCAGCAGAGAUCAACACUAUCAGAGAGACUGAAUCUGGAGGAUAUGAAGGACAGUGAAAGAGAUGUAAUAGUUUGCUGAUGUCCAGAUGUGUGGUCUGGUUGCUGAUGGGAUUGUUGAUCACACAGCUGUAGGUGUUUUUAUCCUGAUAUUCCACCUCCAGAGGUAGAGAGAGACUGAUGCUGAGAUCAGA